ensembl:lncRNA novel transcript
AGUCUGCCGCUGCAAAUACCAAAAGCUGUCCUCAUUGAGUCAUCCCUCCCAGAGCAGGAAGAGCAGAGGUUCUGGGAAACAACCCCAAGGAGAGAGACAGGGCAUUUAUAAAACAGCAUGUAAGCAUCUCUGCAGUUGCUGUCCCCAGAGCCCACUUCCUGGAUAUUGCCAGCUGCCUGGACCAACCUUUCCGAAAGAUCAGCCAGGUCACAGUGAGGGUCAAAGGCGGGCGAGCAUUCACCAAGUGUUGUUGUUAAAGAAAAAAAGAAAGAAAAAGAAACCAGGAUUGUACCUGAGGUCAGGCAGACAGUGCUCAACUCAGCACUGGGAAGAUUGCUAGAAGCCUUGGGCCUAUCUAGGAAGACUGGGCCAACAUGCGAUCCCCUCUGCAAGGUGGAGGCCAUGCACCUGCCUCCUGCUCCUGAGCUCCGGUAUCCUCACUGUGACCCAGGCCCCACUGCAGCAAAGAGACACUGGGAAUUAGCCCUUCUGUCCCCUCCUUGCCAGAAGGUGAGGCAACACCCGGCCUGCUUCAGCUUGCCCCCCGUGGGCUGCACCCACUGUCCAACCAGUCCCAAUGAGAUGAACCAGAACAUUGGCAAGCACGUUGAUAGAGUGCCCACAUUGUACUGAACUCUGAGGGGAAUAGUCUCGUCCCCAUCACUCAGGUGGGGAAACUGAGCAGGAGGCCACUGGAGGCUCCAAGGGCUCUGAAAUGUUGAGAACUUCCCUGCAGGUACCAGCGAAGAGGGCAAGAACACAGCACUACUUCCUUGGAUACUGUUUCCCUCCUCAGAGGGGUUUUCUGAGCUGCCCUGGGUCCUGUGAGGAAGAUCUCCCCUUCCUGUAAAGACACCAGUCCUACUGGAUCAGGGCCCACCCGUGUGACUUCACUUUUACUUGAGUACCUCUCACAGACCCUAACUCCAAAUCAGGUCACUUGCUGAGGUACUGCAUGUGAAGACUUUGACAUUUGAAUUUUGAGGGGGCCACCGUUUAACCUGAACCACCAAGGACAGAGCCAAAGACCCUGGGUGACAGGCCCAGAACAGGACCUGGUGGAGGCUCUUCUUUAGGGGAGAGAGGGAAAUGGGAGCCACCACUGGCAGAGCCUGAAGGCAGGGCAGCCAGAAAGAAGCUGUGGGAGUCCCCACCAUGGAAGACCCUGCCGAGCAUCCUGUGUCUCCUGAAGCAGACCCUGACAUGAGGACUGGGGGCACGUGUUUAUUAAGGGCGAUCCCCGGAAGGAGGAGAUAACCAGGCAGAAGUCCUAGCAGAGUAUGCCCACGCUGGUUAGUGCUGCUGCAAAGAUGAGCCGAAGACCAUGAGAGACCUCCAGGUGGUCCUUCUGGGGAGAAGAAAUGGGUUUUGGCCCCAAAUCCUUCUGCUGCAUUUUUCCCCUAUCCCUGGGAAGCCAUGAGACCUCAAACCUGUGUUCCCAAGGAGGCGAGCUGCUGUUCCCAGGUGAUGAUAUGAUGUGCUUGGGGAAAGUAAGUGGCUGCCAGACAUGGCUGAGAGCUGUUGUCACUGCCGUCAAGUGCAUGUCUCCAAGCCAUAUCACACGGCGUCCCUCGAUGUGAGGCCACAUGGCAAGUGGGCCGUGGAUCUCCCUCUGCCCUUUGCAAGCACGUAAGACAGCAGAUUUUGCAGAUACCUUGUGGCGCAGGGGAAUUUCCUUUGGCCAGGUCUGAAGAAAUAAAGCAGCAGGCACCGAGAACAAAGCCAAGGCUUUCAAAAGACAAGGAGCCAAAAAACUUACUCAAAAUAAAAGUAGUUUUAAAAUGUCUCUGCCAUUGGUAGUCUCAUUUUCUUUUUAAUGUAGGAAAUAGUCAAGUAUUAAAAUGACCAAAAUGAAACAAGUGCCUCAUGGACUGAGAAGGAAGGAGGAAGAUAAAAAA